UAGCGCGACUCUCUCGCUUUCGCUAUCUUUUCCUCUCACUUUCUCUCUCCCUCUCCAUCUCCAUCUCCGCCGUCUCGUCUCUCCCUCUCCCGUCCUCGAUCUCUCUCUCCCAUACUCUCUCGAUCUCUCUCCCUUCCUCUCCCUACCCCUCUCGAUCUCCCGCCCCCGCACGACUCCCCUCUCUCUCUCUCUCUCUCUCUCUCUCUCUCUCUCCCACACGACUCCACCUUCUUCUUGGCAGUGCAAGAGCUCGAAGAGCUUGAUCAGCCUCCAUCGAGAUCGAGAGACAAAGUUAUUGGGCAUUUGGAAGGAAAGCGCUAGGGUGCCUCUAUCGAUAACAUGCUCACAUGGAACUUCUGAUUCCCAUCGAUCUCUCUGUACAAAUCAUCGGAUCAACGUAAAAUGGAGAAAAUCGAUAUCUCCUGCUUCUUUUGGAUUAUACAGAGGAUUAGGGUUUUCAUGUUGGGACCUCGAGCACAACAUCCAGGGAUGCUAACACUGUAAUGAUGUUAUGGAAUUUGUACUUCAAAACUUCACAGAGAUGAAUAAACUUUGGGUCCGAAUGCAUCAUCAGGUUAGUUGAAAUUUUAGAGAACUAUCGCUAUUGUGUUUGGGCACAAACAGUAAGUGCAUGCCAUAAAUGAAAAACUGGAGCAUGGGGGUUUGUGAAGGGAAGAUGCAGUGCAGUUUGAAUUUCAUGCUAUUCUACAUGUUUGACGAAAUUCCUCAACCAGACUCUGUUUCUCACCAAUGAAUGAUACCAGCUCCAAGUUGAUUUCCCCAAGCAUUACCUCAUGGAAGCACCUCAAGAGUAGCUGAAUAAUUUUUAAGACCUACGACAAUCCACUCAAAUAU